CAGGAUUCAUGCGGGUUUCAUAUUGUCAACCGAAUAUCGCAUUUAUUUUGUGAAUAAAUAUUCUUAAUAAUUAAAUGGCUUGACAGACGGACACGUUGAAAGUAGCGAAAACAAUUUGAUGGAAAUUAAAGGUGAAGUGUUUUGUGAGCAAAGUGAAAAUCUAACAAAAAGCUAUCAAGUGAUAGCAACAACUACGCGCAGGAAACCAAAAAGUGCAACAACAACAACAAGAAAUAAUGGCAAACGUAUGGUCACAGAAAGCGUCGUGAACAAGUGAGCUCAGUACAAAAACACGCAGAGCGUGAAGUGAGUAGACGCCGAGUACGAACGGGAGAGUUUCACUGACAGUUUCAACACGUUACCUGCACGCACAAUAGUUCCACUUACCCACACACAGUUACCUAGACAAGUACAAUUGUAUGUAUGUGCAUACGAACAUUUUUAACUAAGCAUAUGCAACGACGACGCCGAACAACUCAAGCGACCACUCAAUCAUCCAGCCCACCUAGCAAAGUGCGAAGAGACUUGUGAAACUGUCGCGCCCAGUCAAGCAGUCAAGCAGCCAAGCAGUCAAACACCGACCCAAAGCAUUUCGUCAUAAUUGCUGUCGCCCUGUAGAGUAGCAGUGCCGCCUGUCGGCCCGUCAAACCUACCGACCGCCCCACUGACGGCCUCACCAGCUGGUUUAGGGCACGACUCGUCAGUCGUCGGCCGCCGUGCGACACCGUCUGUCGCCGCUAAUACUUGCAAGUAUAAAAGUCAGCAACAACGGUGACAUAAAGCAGUGCGAAACCCACCACAAACACGCCAGCUGAGCGGCAGCCGAGCAAGCUGUAGCAGCAGCAGUGGAUUUAACGCUGACGCUUAGCAUUCAUAGGAAGCCCUAGAAAGGCAACUCACACACGUGUUGUGUGCUUUGUAUUUCUCGCCUUCGUUUUCAUUGAAAGGACUCUCGCCGUGGCCACACAUACUCAACGCGUACACGUUGGCAGCACAGGCAGUGUUUCGUUUCCGUUGCGAGUGUCGACCCUUAUCAACAAUCGAACAGCACAGCGGGCAAUAAAUAGCCAAGCAGCCAAGCGGCCAAGUGAGCAGCUCGCCCACAAAGGUAGCAGCGCGCAGCGAAAAGCCCAGACGGACGACACAUUUAAGCGGCUCAGGCGAAAAGCCAAAGCUACCGGAUAUCAUGUCCUUGCCUAUUGACUGGCAAGUGGUCUCAACUUAACUCAUUCGUUGACUUUUCGCUCAGUCGGCGGCAUGAGACGCACUCAAAGCCAAAGCAUAAAUGAUGAAUUUCAACAGAAAACUUACGAAAGUCACAAUAAAGUGGUCUGCUGUACGCUCUUCGUGAGAAUGACAGUCGUUUUAACUUGUCAAACUGUUGCAGAAAUUUCGGCGCAGCCUUGAAGUAUGCAAUGCGUGUGGUGAAGGAAAUCAAACUUGUUAAUCGCAGUCCUGCAGGCGUCUAGAUUUAGUAUGGAAAUCGGCAGCAAAAUAAAACAGUGCGAGCACAGUGAGAAACAGUAACAUUAAAGGAUGAGCGAAAAGUGGAUAUAGCCAAUAUAAUUUCGAAGAAUCGGUGCUUUAAUACAUAUAUUUGUUAAACCUGCUUUCAAAAUAAUUGAUUGUAAUUUUUAUUGUAUAUUUUUCUAAAAUAAAA
rnacentral:lncRNA from 1 species